GACGAACGCUGGCGGCGUGCUUAACACAUGCAAGUCGAACGGUGAAGCGCCUUCCUUUUUGGUGGGUGUGGAUGAGUGGCGAACGGGUGAGUAACACGUGAGUAACCUGCCCCCUUCUUCUGGAUAACCGCAUGAAAGUGUGGCUAAUACGGGAUAUUCUGGGUCUGUCGCAUGAUGGGUCUGGGAAAGAUAUUGUUUCGGUGGGGGAUGGGCUCGCGGCCUAUCAGCUUGUUGGUGGGGUGAUGGCCUACCAAGGCGGUGACGGGUAGCCGGCCUGAGAGGGUGGCCGGUCACACUGGGACUGAGACACGGCCCAGACUCAGACGGGAGGCAGCAGUGGGGAAUAUUGCACAAUGGGCGCAAGCCUGAUGCAGCGACGCCGCGGGAGGGAUGGAGGCCUUCGGGUUGUGAACCUCUUUCGCCAGUGAAGCAGGCCUGCCUCGUUUGUGGGUGGGUUGACGGUAGCUGGAUAAGAAGCGCCGGCUAACUACGUG
rnacentral:rRNA from 1 species